rnacentral:rRNA from 2 species
UGGUGGGUAGUUUGACUGGGGCGGUCUCCUCCCAAAGCGUAACGGAGGAGCACGAAGGUUAGCUAAUCCUGGUCGGACAUCAGGAGGUUAGUGCAAUGGCAUAAGCUAGCUUGACUGCGAGCGUGACGGCGCGAGCAGGUGCGAAAGCAGGUCAUAGUGAUCCGGUGGUUCUGAAUGGAAGGGCCAUCGCUCAACGGAUAAAAGGUACUCCGGGGAUAACAGGCUGAUACCGCCCAAGAGUUCAUAUCGACGGCGGUGUUUGGCACCUCGAUGUCGGCUCAUCACAUCCUGGGGCUGAAGUAGGUCCCAAGGGUAUGGCUGUUCGCCAUUUAAAGUGGUACGCGAGCUGGGUUUAGAACGUCGUGAGACAGUUCGGUCCCUAUCUGCCGUGGGCGCUGGAGAAUUGAGGGGGGCUGCUCCUAGUACGAGAGGACCGGAGUGGACGCAUCACUGGUGUUCGGGUUGUCAUGCCAAUGGCACUGCCCGGUAGCUAAAUGCGGAAGAGAUAAGUGCUGAAAGCAUCUAAGCACGAAACUUGCC